UACGUAGGGUGCGAGCGUUAAUCGGAAUUACUGGGCGUAAAGCGUGCGCAGGCGGUUUUGUAAGCCAGAUGUGAAAUCCCCGGGCUUAACCUGGGAAUGGCAUUUGGGACUGCAAGGCUUGAGUGCGGCAGAGGAGACUGGAAUUCCCGGUGUAGCAGUGAAAUGCGUAGAUAUCGGGAGGAAUACCGAUGGCGAAGGCAGGUCUCUGGGACGGUACUGACGCUGAGACGCGAAAGCGUGGGGAGCGAACAGG
rnacentral:rRNA from 1 species